GAUCAUCGAUAGCGAUGAAUAUCUACCCACAUCAAGGUAAUGAGAUACGAUCUCAUACUUCUACUAAAUUCUAGAUUAUAUGUUUGUUUUCUCCUGGGCUUUGGGUAGGAUUAGAAUUGAUCUUAUGCAUAUGGGGUUAAAGAAUUUAACCCAUUUUAUUUUUUUCUUUAUUUUCCAAAAAAGUUUUGAAAUAUAAACAUACUGCCUAUCCGAUUUUCUAACAUAA
rnacentral:lncRNA from 1 species